AGUAUCUUGUAUAAAUGGUGACCAUCAAUAGCUGGAGGCUGAUAAGUAUUAACCAAUUAUUAGAAUGACCCCGUGACCCCAGAACCUACUUUUUCUACAACAUGUAUUCCAGGAAAACAGCUUCAUCACCUUUAAGACCGCUGGAAAAUGAAGCCUGCCUUGCCAUACACAGGACUGUAUCACAGUUUGAAUCAAAUUUGUGCGUCUCUUGCUUGCAAUUCUGCUUUUCUUCCUUUGAAAAUGGAAGGUAGGCAUCUCCCAAGCCUUCCAGAAGAAACUGACCUGCUUCUUCUGCUUGGGCUGCCUCAUAGACCCAGGCACCAUAAGCUGUGGCCACAGCUUCUGCCGGGCCUGCCUCAACCUGUCCUAGAAAGACAUCCAAGUACCUGCCCAUUGCCCUAUGUGUAGGACACCAUGGCAGGAAGAAGACCUCAGAACCAACACUUUUCUGAAGAAGUUGGGUGUCCAUUGCCUUGCCAUACAAGCCAGGCUCUUGGAGACCCUGAGCUCCAAGAGCAUGAGUGUGUAACCCACAAGAAAACCCACAAGAAGAUCAACCAGAUCUUCUUGUGGAGAACAGGAUCUACCUCUGUGAACGCUGCUCUGUCUCCCAUGAGCACAGUGUUCACACAGUCCCAUUGGAGCAGCUCCUGAGGACUAAAUGAAUUUGCAUGACAUAUUCCAAAGGAGUGUGUCAGUGCAGUUGAGCAUGCCCCAGACUACAAAACCAGAACUCAGCGCCCUACCCAUCACUGAAGUGGCAGAAUGGUGCAACUACUAACAAGUGCACAUUUUUACUACAAGAUGAAUCUAUGUGAAGAGUCCAUCUGUGGAUCCUAUUGGAUGCUAUGCCACCAAGUCAAGUGAAUAAUGGUGCCCAAUAAAAGUACCUCAUGAUUUCUGGGGGUUAGGCCUCUGCUGAUCCUAUUGGAUGCUAUGCCACCAAGUCAAGUGAAUAAUGGUGCCCAAUAAAAGUACCUCAUGAUUUCUGGGGGUUAGGCCUCUGCUGAUCCUAUUGGAUGCUAUGCCACCAAGUCAAGUGAAUAAUGGUGCCCAAUAAAAGUACCUCAUGAUUUCUGGGGGUUAGGCCUCUGCUCUCCCCUUCAAUCGACGACUGUCAGUAUUGAUAUGAAUAGGAAGGAGAUGCCAGGAGCGAUCAUUGGUAUAUAGGACCUCUUGUAAAUAUUGUCAUCUGUAGAAGGUACUAAAUAAGGCUAGCUUAAUAAAAGCCAUCUUCACAUUCCUACUGUAUUCUUAGAGACUAACACAAUUAAGUUUCUAAGUCUAUGUGUCUGCUUAUCUUCCUGUACAGCAUACUUUCAAGGCCUGCAAUCCAGGGUCUCCCACUCCUCUGCCACCUGGCCUGCAGUCCAGACUCCCCUUGCCACAGACUUGUGUCCUUGGAACACAUCCUGCCAAGACCAAGCUCCCUGCUUCAACCUCUCCCACCUACCCUCCCUUCUCCCCUCUCCCAAGUUUCCUGCUUCAACCACUGCCAUCGCGCAGCCUGUAUCCGAGAAUGUGGUGAGGGUGUCGGGAUCGAUGACAAAGAGACCAGUCGGUUGUGUUAAGAAAACUUUAUGCUCCCCAAGAAGGCUCAAGAGAA